rnacentral:rRNA from 1 species
GAUGAACGCUGGCGGCGUGCCUAAUACAUGCAAGUCGAGCGAACAGAUGAGGAGCUUGCUCCUCUGACGUUAGCGGCGGACGGGUGAGUAACACGUGGAUAACCUACCUAUAAGACUGGGAUAACUUCGGGAAACCGGAGCUAAUACCGGAUAAUAUAUUGAACCGCAUGGUUCAAUAGUGAAAGACGGUUUUGCUGUCACUUAUAGAUGGAUCCGCGCCGCAUUAGCUAGUUGGUAAGGUAACGGCUUACCUAGGCAACGAUGCGUAGCCGACCUGAGAGCGUGAUCGGUCACAGUAGAAUCGAGAGUCGACGCAGAAUGGUAGCGGAGGCAGAGGUUGGGGAGCUGCCGCAGGGGGGGAAAGCUUGUCUGAGUAACCGCGCGUAGUUGAAGAAGAUUUACGUCUUAAAAAACCAUUUUUAUGGGGAACAAUAAAUGGGUAAUUUAUCAACCCAUUAGAGACGGCACCAAGUCAUAACGCCUGGGUCAAGGACGU